GGUAGAAUUAGUUUAAUGGUAAAACGUCGUUUUGUGGCAACGUUGAUCAGAGUUCAAUUCUCUGAUUUUGCCC
rnacentral:tRNA from 1 species